AAUGCAUAGAUAUUACUUAGAACACCAAUUGCGAAGGCAGGUUACUAAGCAACAACUGACGCUGAUGGACGAAAGCGUGGGGAGCGAACAGGAUUAGAUACCCUGGUAGUCCACGCUGUAAACGAUGCUAACUCGUUUUUGGGUUUUCGGAUUCAGAGACUAAGCGAAAGUGAUAAGUUAGCCACCUGGGGAGUACGAACGCAAGUUUGAAACUCAAAGGAAUUGACGGGGGCCCGCACAAGCGGUGGAUUAUGUGGUUUAAUUCGAUGAUACGCGAGGAACCUUACCAAGGCUUAAAUGGGAAAUGACAGGUUUAGAAAUAGACUUUUCUUCGGACAUUUUUCAAGGUGCUGCAUGGUUGUCGUCAGCUCGUGCCGUGAGGUGUUAGGUUAAGUCCUGCAACGAGCGCAACCCCUGUCACUAGUUGCCAUCAUUAAGUUGGGGACUCUAGUGAGACUGCCUACGCAAGUAGAGAGGAAGGUGGGGAUGACGUCAAAUCAUCACGGCCCUUACGCCUUGGGCCACACACGUAAUACAAUGGCCGGUACAGAGGGCAGCUACACAGUGAUGUGAUGCAAAUCUCGAAAGCCGGUCUCAGUUCGGAUUGGAGUCUGCAACUCGACUCUAUGAAGCUGGAAUCGCUAGUAAUCGCGCAUCAGCCAUGGCGCGGUGAAUACGUUCCCGGGCCUUGUACACACCGCCCGUCAAGCCAUGGAAGUCUGGGGUACCUGAAGUCGGUGACCGUAACAGGAGCUGCCUAGGGUAAAACAGGUAACUAGGGCUAAGUCGUAACAAGGUAA
rnacentral:rRNA from 1 species